rnacentral:sRNA from 2 species
AUAUCUCUCUGUACGGGAAGGAUGAGAAGCUUCGACCAAGGUUCGAUUCGAGCGCAGCGAGAAAGCGUUGC